rnacentral:lncRNA from 1 species
GCUGCAGGAGAAGAUGGCGGUCUCCACAGGCGUUAAAGUUCCUCGUAAUUUUCGUUUGUUGGAAGAACUUGAAGAAGGACAGAAAGGAGUAGGCGACGGUACGGUCAGCUGGGGCCUGGAAGAUGAUGAAGACAUGACACUCACAAGGUGGACAGGCAUGAUCAUUGGGCCACCACGGACAAAUUAUGAGAACAGAAUAUAUAGCUUGAAAGUAGAAUGUGGACCUAAAUACCCAGAAGCUCCUCCAUCAGUUAGAUUUGUAACCAAAAUUAAUAUGAAUGGAAUAAAUAAUUCCAGUGGAAUGGUGGAUGCACGAAGCAUACCAGUGUUAGCAAAAUGGCAAAAUUCAUAUAGCAUUAAAGUUGUACUUCAAGAGCUAAGACGUCUAAUGAUGUCCAAAGAAAAUAUGAAGCUUCCACAGCCACCAGAAGGACAAACAUACAACAAUUAAUUUUAGUGGAUCUCAAACUUGUCUUAAAUCAGCAACCUUCUACUCAUGUUAAUGUCUUGAUUAAAUAUCACAAUGCAAAAUACCCACACAUUAAAGUAAGAUAAUUCCAGCUGGUAAACAUGACCUGGACAUUUGUAAGAAUAUAUUUAAUAUAUGUACACCCAUUAUGUUUUCAGGUAACAGGAAGAAAAUUCAGCAGUCUUUUCUUGUUAAGGCACCACCACUUAAGCACGCACCUGGAGUCCUCACUGGAGCUCAGGUUUGCAGGUGAGAGCACAGCAAGAAGUGUCGGCUGGCUGUGCAGGCAGGUGUGUUUCUGACGAGAAAGCCGAGAAGGAAACUCGAGUGGCGUGCUCCAUCAUCUUGCUUAGAGAAAGAGCUUCAGUUGAAAUUGUCUAAAGUAGCA